ensembl:lncRNA
CCUGGUUCAUGCCUGUGCCUGUUCCUGCCUAAUCUCAAUACUGUACAACAGAGCCCCUACCUCCUGUUGUUUUGCACCAUCCUGCUAGCAAAAAAGGGACAGCUCCUUGUAUCGAUUGGUUAUCUCAGCUCAGUGGUACGUGUCCAUUACCAUGGUUCAUUCUUCCACAGCAAAUGUGAUCUUUGUAAUGCAUCAUCAGUCCAUCAGCUUUCACCUGCUUCACCUUGGCAGCAAUUCUGGAUAGAGGGAAUGGUAAAAAUGGAGGUUGAAUAACAGAGACCUGAGGUCAGCCUGCAGACCAAGUUUAAGCAGCCAGGCGUGGCGCCGACCGGCAUCUCUGGGGCCGUCCCUCAUCGGCAGAGGAAAACGUUCGGCAAAGACGAGUAGG